CAGCCAGGAAGGAGGAGGCAGCCAGAGUGUUCUCUGCAGCAGAAGACCCCUUGCUGCCCUGCUUAACCCAGACCAGCAUUUGCCAGUCUUUACUGUCGCAGGGUCUUGGACAGGAAGAGAAAACUAGCCUGGAAAGCAGAUGGAAAGUUGGGCUUAAUUUAAAAAAAGAAGAGAAAAGAGUAUCUUCUAAGAGGAAUAUGGCCCAUUUUCUCAAUGUGUGAUAAUGUCAAGCAAGCUUAAUUAAUAAGUUCCUCAAAUGAAUUCUUAAAGUCAAUAAUGUAGUAAUGCUGGAGUGACCCUGGAACAAGAAGUGAAGAUGGACCCCUGGCCCCUCCCCACCUUUCUCUCCUCCACAUCCCCAUGUCUUUGCUGCAGAAGGAUGAUACUACUGGAGCUGUUUGUAACCCAACAACGGAAAAUCAACUUUCAGGCUGCUGCAAUAAUAUAAGACAUUGGCUGAAAUACACUUCCAAGAGUGGUGAUGUUCCUGCUUUUUCUUCCAAAAGUCUACAGCCCUACUAUAAAUGAACACCUAGUAGUUGUUUCCCAGAUCACUUCCCACCUCACUGUUUCAGUAUUGUAUACACUCAAGACUUUGUAGAUCUAACUUAAAGGCAGGUAAAAUAUGUUAAAAAUUGUCUCUUGAUUCUGUACUAUGAUGACCAUAAAUAAGGAAUAGAAUCAUUCUGCAGUCAUAUGCUAGGUAGCUUUCCUAUUUGAUUGGAAAUUAAUUUCUUUAAUAUAAAUGAUUUUUACAGCAACUUGUAGCUGAACAGCACAGGAUAAAGGUUCAGAAAGAGCUCAGCAAAUAUGCAGUUCUGGGUGCACUGGAGAAAACAGUCAUACACCUACAGGAUAGUGACCAAGUCUAGGGGGAAAGUAUUUCCAAAUGCUUGACACUGGAACCAUAUGUUUUUAGGCACCAGAUAGCCAUGGUUUUCUUCUCUUAUAUAUAGAACACAGUAUAGGAUGAGCAGUCUAAAAUUUAGAUAGGUCAGUCCUAACAGAUAAUGAGAACACUUUAGUCCUGGAUGGUGUUAUCAGGGUCAUUUUUUUAUACCCCACUUUUCCUGCCACAAAGCAGCUUGUAGUGAAAUACAAACAAAACACUAAUGACGACAAUAAUAAUUUUAAAAAACAAACCUAUCAUGCUCUGUGGGCCAGAAUAAAGAUUGACUGAUUCUCUGAAUAAAGUUAUUAAACAAAUAGUCAAAGCAAUGGCAGCAGCAUGCAACAAAGGCCUCUAGAAUAAUUAAAAUCAGAAUUAACCUUCAUGGUGCUGAACACAGGCUGCUGGAAGCAGCGCUGCAGCAGCGCGUGGCCUUUGGACAGUGAGCACCGUGCCCAGUAAAGCAGUGGAGCAGAAGAAGAUCAGGUAAGGACCUGCUUACCUGGUUUUUAAAGGAACCGAUCCCUGUCCUGUCCACGGCAGCCAGAGCCAGUUCGAGCACAUCCCUACUAACCUGUCUGAUCCUGGAAUCACUAAGAAGUAACCUAGCAUUUGACAGGAAGGCAAGUUUGGUCCUAUGCCACAACAGAGUGGAUGACGGGCUUAACCGCGGAAUUAAGUGAAGUAAAGUAGCGCAAGUUAUGAGGUAAUAUACUAGCUGCUUAUAAACACAAUAAAGAUAAUUCGAAGAAACUUGUGGGCCAUUCACAUAGGCCAGCUUUAAUAGGCUUCCUGUUGGUUCCUUCAAUUUUUUUCAUGCACCGUUCAUACCGUGCACCAUUCAAGUCAGUGAAGGGUACACCACUCCCAGAGUGGUGUACUGGCAAUAUACCACUCACAAUGGUACUUUAUGCUGAACAUAAGUAGGUUUUUCUUAAAGCCUCACUUUUUGCUUUUAUUUUAAAUUUUAUCAUUCACAUGGAGAGCUUGCAGAACAUCGUUUGCAUCUGCACCAUAUUCAGCAAGAUCUCCAAGCAAAUGUUUUUGUUUGUUUUUUAAAAAAGGAAAAUGUGAGGCUUUAAGAAAAGCCUACUUGUGUCCUUAUAUUCACCAUAAAGUACCAAUGGGAGUCAAGCAGAGUCAGGAGGCUUUUCAAAAGAAAAGAAAAAAGAGAUAAAUUGUAUUAAAAGAGGAAAAUAAAAUGCACCGUGUAGGUGCAUAGAACGAUGUUCAGCAAGAUCAACAAGCAAUUGGAAAAAAAAAUUGAAAAAAAGUGAGGCUUUAAUAAAAGGUGCUCUAUCAGCAUGGCCCUUCCAUACAUCACAGAUGAAAAAUGUAUAUUGGAUAUACUGAAGCAUCCCAAAAAGCUCCUGUAAAAAGUGGAACUUUUCAGCGCAGAGAUAAUGUGGGCUAAGCUUCAAUGCACAGGGAAAAAUACGAAUUUUAUAUGGAGUGCUCCCCAUUAUCUCACAUCGGCUUAAACGUAAAUCCACCUGAUGUGUGAACACAUACCUGAUCUUCCCGUGGUGAUCAAGUAAAAUCGUCGUCUGGAAAUAGCCCAGGAGUGUCACCAUCAUUCUUAAUAGUGCUAUUUGUGGCCACACUUACGAUAAGAGGACAGAAACAUGCUGGGGGUGAACUGUGAUCACAUGGUUUAAACGAAAGCACUUCACUUCUUUGACAAACCAUAAAGUCAUCUCAAGAUUUUUUCCCAUAGCUGAACUUUAGUAUGUA